UAGGGAAUAUUGGUAAUGGGCGAAAGCCUGAACCAGCAACGCCGCGUGUGCGAUGAAGGCCUUCGGGUUGUAAAGCACUUUUUGAGGGGAUGAGGAAGGACAGUACCCUCAGAAUAAGUCUCGGCUAACUACGUGCCAGCAGCCGCGGUAACACGUAGGAGACUAGCGUUAUCCGGAUUUACUGGGCGUAAAGCGCGUGCAGGUGGCUCGGAAAGUUCGAUGUGAAAGCUCCCGGCUUAACUGGGAGAGGUCGUUGAAUACUUUCGGGCUAGAGGAUGGGAGAGGGAGCGGAAUUCCGGGUGUAGUGGUGAAAUGCGUAGAUAUCCGGAGGAACACCAGUGGCGAAAGCGGCCUCCUGGCCCAUUUCUGACACUCAGACGCGAAAGCUAGGGUAGCAAAC
rnacentral:rRNA from 1 species